GGCUCUGCGGAUUUUGAGGCCAAU
rnacentral:siRNA from 1 species